rnacentral:rRNA from 1 species
GCGCACGCUGGCGGCGUGCUUAACACAUGCACGUCGAACGAUGAAGCCCAGCUUGCUGGGUGGAUUAGUGGCGAACGGGUGAGUAACACGUGAGUAACCUGCCCUUAACUCUGGGAUAAGCCUGGGAAACUGGGUCUAAUACCGGAUAGGAGCGUCCACCGCAUGGUGGGUGUUGGAAAGAUUUAUCGGUUUUGGAUGGACUCGCGGCCUAUCAGCUUGUUGGUGAGGUAAUGGCUCACCAAGGCGACGACGGGUAGCCGGCCUGAGAGGGUGACCGGCCACACUGGGACUGAGACACGGCCCAGACUCCUACGGGAGGCAGCAGUGGGGAAUAUUGCACAAUGGGCGAAAGCCUGAUGCAGCGACGCCGCGUGAGGGAUGACGGCCUUCGGGUUGUAAACCUCUUUCAGUAGGGAAGAAGCGAAAGUGACGGUACCUGCAGAAGAAGCACCGGCUAACUACGUG